CCUACGGGUGGCAGCAGUGGGGAAUAUUGGACAAUGGGCGAAAGCCUGAUCCAGCCAUGCCGCGUGUGUGAAGAAGGCCUUCGGGUUGUAAAGCACUUUCAGUGGGGAAGAAAGCCUUGGGGCUAAUACCCUCGAGGAAGGACAUCACCCACAGAAGAAGCACCGGCUAACUCCGUGCCAGCAGCCGCGGUAAUACGGAGGGUGCGAGCGUUAAUCGGAAUUACUGGGCGUAAAGCGCGCGUAGGCGGUCUGAUAAGCCGGUUGUGAAAGCCCCGGGCUCAACCUGGGAACGGCAUCCGGAACUGUCAGGCUAGAGUGCAGGAGAGGAAGGUAGAAUUCCCGGUGUAGCGGUGAAAUGCGUAGAGAUCGGGAGGAAUACCAGUGGCGACGGCGGCCUUCUGGACUGACACUGACGCUGAGGUGCGAAAGCGUGGGUAGCAAACAGGAUUAGAUACCCGAGUAGUC
rnacentral:rRNA from 1 species